rnacentral:rRNA from 1 species
GAUGAACGCUGGCGGCGUGCAUAACACAUUCAAGUCGAACGGACAGUAGCAAUACUGUUAGUGGCGGACGGGUGAGUAACACGUGAGCAACCUGCCUGUGUGAGGGGGACAACAGCCGGAAACAGCUGCUAAUACCGCAUAACGUAUUCGAAUCGCAUGGUUUGAAUACCAAAGAUUUAUCGCACACAGAUGGGCUCGCGUCCGAUUAGUUAGAUGGUGAGGUAACGGCUCACCAUGACUGCGAUCGGUAGCCGGACUGAGAGGUUGAACGGCCACAUUGGAACUGAGAUACGGUCAAGACUCCUACGGGAGGCAGCAGUGGGGAAUAUUGGGCAAUGGGCGCAAGCCUGACCCAGCGACGCCGCGUGAAGGAAGACGGUCUUCGGAUUGUAAACUUUAAACAACAGGGAAGAAACAAAUGACUGUACCUGUUAGGAAGCCACGGCUAACUACGUGCCAGCCGCCGCCGUAAAAC